ensembl:lincRNA
CUGGAUAUUGUCUACACUCAGAAGCUAAAAUCUGGAAUCAUUACUUGUUUGAUUUACAUCUUUUCUGGGGUUGUGCUGGUUAUACCAACCUUAUCUCAGCUACCUGAAGGAUUGUCGUGCUGGAGAAGACAUGUGUGGAGACCCACCUGACCAAAGCUCAACUUCAUGAACAUAAGAGCUGGAGGAACUGCCUC